rnacentral:lncRNA from 1 species
UCCCCGAGGCGUGGGCUCCGCGGGGCUUCCCCGCCGGUUCGCUGAGUCCCAGCUCCGCUCGGCCGGGACCUCCGUGGCAGGCUCGGGGAGCCCGCGGGGGGCAGAGGCGCCGACCUCCGCCUGGGACCGAGAGGAACCCGCGCCCUGCCCUGCCCCGCCCGGCGCGCGUGGGCCUGAGUCAGGCGCCUCAGCACGGGGACCCCCGGGCCGGCCUUCACGCCGCAGAGCCGCUGCAGGUGAGACUGUGGCCCACAGACACUGCUUGCAGCAGGCAGAGGAUGUGGGAGCCUCGUGGGAACCCCCCCGACUUGUCCACUGAAGUAACAGCAGCAAUGACCUUCCCUCGGGAAUUCCACCUCUGCGUUUUUCCCUCCAGAUGGCGCUGAAAGCAAAGAAGGAAGCUCCUGCCUCUCCUGAAGCCGAAGCCAAAGCGAAGGCUUUAAAGGCCAAGAAGGCAGCGUUGAAAGGUGUCCACAGCCACAUAAAAAAGAAGACCCGCACGUCACUCA